AUGUCCUGGAGGCAAGAGGGGAUGCGGGAUUGUAGGUCAGCGGAGAGGUCAGGCCUAAUAGUAACAACUGUGGAUUCUGUUAGGCACGUACUGCGUGUCAAAUGCUCGGGUAGAAACCAGCUAACAAGUCUGACACGGCCCCUCUCUGAAGCCAUUUGAGUGGAUGAGCUCCCUGGGAGAGGGAGUGUAAAGCGAGAAGCUAGAAGACCCACAACAGAGCCUCGGGGGAUGCCCACUCUACCAGGAUGAAAGGCAGAGGAGGAGCCAACGGACACAGGAGGCGAAACGGAAUGCGAAGAUCGAAGAUUCUUUCCGGCGAUUUGUUUCACACCGUGAGCUCGUCGAGGGCAGAGAACGUGUCUACCGACUCUGUCGUACUCUCCCAAGCGCUUAGUACAGUGCUCUGCACACAGGAAGCGCUCAGUAAAUACGAUCGAUCGAUUGGACGUUGGGGGCGGAGGAAGAGGAUCGGAGAAAUGCUCUGACGUUAGUUUCACCUCUGCAUUUGUAGACAUAAUUGGUUUUAAUGAACUUUUAAAAUAUUUGAACGCACCACAGUGUCAUCCUCCUCGUUUCCCUCCUCCUCCUCAUUAGCAACUCUGUCACCAAGAAGACCCGACAGACCCACUCCGUAGUCCCCAUCAGAAAGGGAGAGUCUGGAAAGAUAAGGGCUCAGUCAAGGAUAGACCAAAGGGGACAGAUCGGGAAACGGAUGUGCCUCAGAGAAACUCUCAGAUGUUUUUUCACGUGCAGAAGUAGCAAAAUUUUGGCUGGAACUGUGAGUAAAUUUGUAUCCGACGUACCCUACUCGGAAACAGAAUAUGAAUCUGACGUACCUGACGUGGAAACAAAAUAUGAAUCUGACGUACCCCGCUCGGAAACAAUAUGAAUCUGACCUACCCGACUCGGAAACAAAAUAUCAAUCUGACGUACCCGACUCGGAAACAAAAUGUGAAUAUACUUAGAAUUUUUAGGCUUUGCGUGAUUAUAUUUUACGAUAUAGGUGUGUCUCUCGUGAAAACCGCAAAUUUGGGCACAACAACUCCAGAUUAAUUGAGCCUGAAGUUCCUGGGAACUCAACAGUAUAUCCGCAGUAGCAGGAACUUUGGCCGAGUCUUCUACGACACCAGCUACCGAGAGGAGAAAGCCAUUUUUUACGCUUGCGCUCGCUAGCAACAGAAAAUAAAUACUCCCCAAACUUGCUAAUUAAAAAA